rnacentral:rRNA from 1 species
AGUGAACGCUGGCGGUAGGCCUAACACAUGCAAGUCGAACGGCAGCACAGUAAGAGCUUGCUCUUACGGGUGGCGAGUGGCGGACGGGUGAGGAAUACAUCGGAAUCUACUUUUUCGUGGGGGAUAACGUAGGGAAACUUACGCUAAUACCGCAUACGACCUACGGGUGAAAGCAGGGGAUCUUCGGACCUUGCGCGAUUGAAUGAGCCGAUGUCGGAUUAGCUAGUUGGCGGGGUAAAGGCCCACCAAGGCGACGAUCCGUAGCUGGUCUGAGAGGAUGAUCAGCCACACUGGAACUGAGACACGGUCCAGACUCCUACGGGAGGCAGCAGUGGGGAAUAUUGGACAAUGGGCGCAAGCCUGAUCCAGCCAUACCGCGUGGGUGAAGAGGGCCUUCGGGUUGUAAAGCCCUUUUGUUGGGAAAGAAAAGCAGCAGGUUAAUACCCCGCUGUUCUGACGGUACACAAAGAAUAAGCACCGGCUAACUUCGUG